CACAGCUGCCAUACCAUCUCUUUCCGGAGUCUGAGAUGGUGCUAGGGUGUCUGGGGUCUCAGCUGAGGCAGAAGACUAAUAAAGAUAUGGGAAUCUACAUGGAAAACAGUUUGGAAAGACAGUUUCCAGUCUGACAGACUGGAAAGAUGGAAGCAGUCUGGAAUUAACCAAGUUUCUUUGGAUAAGCUCUCUGUCAGGCCCCGACUCUGGGAAGAGCUGAGAGGCUGUGGAUGGGUCCAGGCUCUGGCCUGAAGCACUCAAGAAACAGGGUCUGACCGGACAGACUGUAGAGCCUGGAGUGGAAAGAGAGAGGAUGAAAGUAUGAACAAGGGGCUGUUGUUGCCCUCAAGACAUCACAGAAGACCAAUACUUAGAAAACUCUGGUAGCAGUAGCCACGGACUGACACUCACCGUUUACCAGGUCCACAGCCGAAGGUUCUCUGUGUGUGAUUCCAGCCGCUUCUCACGGCAAGC